AGUCGGCCCGAGAAUUGAACCCUGUGGCACCCCCGUAGAGACUGCCAGAGGACCGGACAGCAUGCCCUCCGAUUUGACACACUGAACUCUGUCUGCAAAGUAAUUGGUGAACCAGGCAAGGCAGUCAUCCGAAAAACCGAGGCUACUGAGUCUGCCGAUAAGAAUAUGGUGAUUGACAGAGUCGAAAGCCUUGGCAAGGUCGAUGAAGACGGCUGCACAGUACUGUCUUUUAUCGAUGGUGGUUAUGAUAUCGUUCAGUACCUUGAGCGUGGCUGAGGUGCACCCGUGACCGGCUCGGAAACCAGACUGCAUAGCGGAGAAGGUACGGUGGGAUUCGAGAUGGUCAGUGACCUGUUUGUUGACUUGGCUUUCGAAGACCUUAGAAAGGCAGGGCAGGAUAGAUAUAGGUCUGUAACAGUUUGGGUCCAGGGUGUCUCCCCCUUUGAAGAGGGGGAUGACUGCGGCAGCUUUCUAAUCCUUGGGGAUCUCAGACGAUAUGAAAGAGAGGUUGAACAGGCUGGUAAAUAGGGGUAAUAGGGGUUGCGACAAUGUCCAGAGAGAUAUGGG